UAAUUUUUAGCUAAGCCAAGUUCGUUAGCUGGAUGAGAUUUGUUACCUUUGGUUCUUGUUAAUAUUUGCCUUAUUUGGUCCCUGCUGUUCUGCAACUGCAAAGGCAAAAUCAUUUGUUCUGCAACUGCAGCCUCUGCUAUUAGGGAUGCAGCCUCUACUAUUAGGGAUGGUAAUGUAUUAUGGGCCUUCUUCACAAUCCAACUUAGCUCUAUUUAUUUUUAGUUUAAAAUCAUAUAAUUUUAUAGCGUGGUCCUUAUUGAACCCGAUCCUUAAAUCCGUUAGGCUAAAUUAGAUGGCUCUUUUAUCACCCCUAGCUAUAGCACUUCUCUACACAACGGUCAAUGGUGUAAGUUCAAAGUGAGAUGUUUAUUAAGAGCUUCACAUAUGGAACAACGCUUAAUAAGAUUGCAAAAGCCCAAAGAAAGAUGCAUGUCAAUUAUAUUAUUUUACCUCUGCAGGUGCACAAUGCGGCGAGGAAAACCAUUUUCCCCAUUGCGAGUUCCCCCAAUGCCUGGAGUGUUAUGAACCGUUGGAUCGGCAGGCUGCGGUCACGAUUCGAUACGUCGAGGUUGAUGCGGCAGCGUCGCCGCUGGGCCAAGCCCAUCCGUCUUUAUUUCCCUCUCGCUCGUCGCCGAUUCCGGCCGCCACCAAUCCAUUCAUGACCUGAUUACUCGAUCGCCGGAGAAGGAAACGGAGGAAUCCGACAUUUGGCCGGUGAAAUCGAUCUAUGGUUGGAGAAUUGCCCGCUCGCACACGACCGCUCCGAUUCGAAAUCGGACAUUUGGGGGAUCCGAUCCGAUGUCGUUGCGCUUGGCGGCCUUCUCCACCUUCUUCUCCUCCCUCCCUCCCUCUGCACAUCUGCAGCAGCAGCAGCACAUGGAGAGCGAUCGACAGCCUCGCUGCGGUGCGGAGGCGGCUUCAGAAGGCUCUUCACUGCCUCCAUCCAUCUUCUCUACCCCGGCCGGCAGGCGGCAGUGGCAGUAGAUGCGGUCGCUGCGAUGUUGCUGGCAAGCCUGCAGCUGCACAGCAAUGAUGGCAGCUGGGCCCUUGUCUUGGGCUUUGCGACAAUCUUACUUAGGCCUUGUAACGGCCCAGGAGACGAAGCCCACCCAUGAAAAUAUACACGCUCUUACUCCAUUC
rnacentral:lncRNA from 1 species